UACGAAGGGGGCUAGCGUUGUUCGGAAUUACUGGGCGUAAAGCGCACGCAGGCGGCCAGACAAGUCAGAGGUGAAAUCCCAGGGCUCAACCUUGGAACUGCCUUUGAAACUGUCUGGCUAGAGAUCGAGAGAGGUGAGUGGAAUUCCUAGUGUAGCAGUGAAAUGCGUAGAUAUUAGGAGGAACACCGGUGGCGAAGGCGGCUCACUGGCUCGAUACUGACGCUCAUGUGCGAAAGCGUGGGGAGCAAACAGG
rnacentral:rRNA from 1 species